AAUCUGGCACCUUCGGUGUCCGAGUUGUAAUCUCUAGAAAUGUUUUCCGCGUUGGACCGCACACAAGUCUGUUGGAAUACAGCGGCAUAGUGGUGAGACCCCCGUAUAUGGUGCGGACGCCCAGCGCUUUGUGAUACAUUUUCGAAGAGUCGAGUUGUUUGGGAAUGCAGCUCAAAUUGGGUGGUAAAUUCCAUCUAAAGCUAAAUAUUGGCGAGAGACCGAUAGCGAACAAGUACCGUGAGGGAAAGAUGAAAAGCACUUUGGAAAGAGAGUUAACAGUACGUGAAAUUGUUGGAAGGGAAACGCUUGAAGUCAGACUUGCUUGCCGAGCAAUCGGUUUGCAGGCCAGCAUCAGUUUUCCGGGAUGGAUAAUGGUAGAGAGAAGGUAGCAGUUUCGGCUGUGUUAUAGCUCUCUGCUGGAUACAUCUUGGGGGACUGAGGAACGCAGUGUGCCUUUGGCGGGGGUUUCGACCUCUUCACACUUAGGAUGCUGGUGGAAUGGCUUUAAACGAC
rnacentral:rRNA from 1 species